AUUCCUGCAUAUUCACAGAGGUCUUUUUUUUUUUUUUUUUUUUUUUUUACAAAUUGUUGUGCCUUGCAGAGAUGUCCAGUUAUCAAAGCUUCAAGUACGUUUUGCUUUUUUUUUAUCCUAUCUAUUCCACUUUGAAAGGCUGUUUCAAAUUCUUUUCAACAUUUAAUACUGAAUAAUUUAUAGCUUACAUUUACUUUUAGUGAGUAUAUACUCACAUUUCAAAUUGUCCUAUAGCUUAUGUAGUCCUUAAUAGCAAAGUACUUACAUAUGUAUCCCUUAAAAUCAUUUUUGCUAACCUGAACAAUUUUCUAAUUUUCUUUUAAAUAGACUGUUUCCUUGCUCCUUCUGCAGGACUAGAUCCAAACUUGCUACAGUUUCAAUUAAUAUUUACUAAAAAUGAAUAACUAUAGUUGGGAAUUUAUCUACUAAAUUCCAGCUUUCCUUCAUUCAGUCUUUCCCCAGUAUUGUUCCCAGCCAUAUAUGUGUCAAGGACAGUCUUUUUACUGACCUAUUCUUGAUCUGAUUAGCUUUCAAAUUUACAUCCUAAUGUCCAGCAUAUGAGGGUUUGUUUUUUUUUUUUUGGUUGGUUGACUAGUUGUUAUUUUUGUUGUUGUUGUUUUGUUUUUUUCCCCUCUCUUCAGUUUCAGACUUUGACUUCAGCCUUUUGCCUUUUUUUUUUUCCUCUCUACUUAAACCAAGCUUAAUUCAGCAACAGAAUGAGGACCAGAAAAGCAGUUGCAAAAAAUCCAGAGCAUACAGGUGAGGUGAAUAAAGCUUGGUCUAUCAACAGCAUUUCAUUGGUGUGCCCCCAGAUGGAAAACAUGUACUGGAGUCCUUAGGAAGCUGCUUUGCAAAAAACUUAAAGGCUUGUGUGGAUUGCAAAUUUUUGGUGAAUGAAUGAAAGAGCUACGUAAAGAGCUAUUGUCUUCAAGCAUAAGAAUAUUUUUUUUCUUGGAAAAAUAAAAUUGAGAGCAGACUUGUGGAAUUUCUUCAGAAAGGAUGUGGCUCUGGGAAAUUUGUGCACCAAGGGGAGCCUGCAUAUGUAUUCAGAACACUUCAAUCACAUCAGGUUCAGAAAAUAAGUUGAGCUGCAGCUGUCAGAUGGAAGGAUACUUAGUAGUAGUAGUACUGUAUAAACUUUUCUUCCUCACCCCCUCUUUAUAACUGCUGUGGAUUGUGGAUUGUUUUUUGGUCUUUUUUUUUAAUUAUUAUUAUUAAAUUUGCUGUUCAUUGGGAAACAUAUUUUGUCUUGGAUUAAUAUUUGCACUAGUUGAAUGGUCUCUUCCUGGGCAUAUGCCUAAAACUUCUAUGUAAAGAUGUUCUGUACUAGCGUGUGGAAGAACUGCUUUACAGUAAGGAUGAUGGAGCUCUGAAACAGAUUGUCCAAGGAGACUGUGGAGUCUUCUUCUAUGGAAAUAUUCAAGACCUGUCUGAACACCUACACAUGCAACCUAUUGUAGGGAACCUGCUUUAGCGGGGAAGUUGGACUUGAUCUCUUGAGGUCUCUCCCUACCCUUGUGAUUCUGUGUGAUUAUGGCAUCCAAUUACUCAGUUAAGAUGAACCAAAGAAGUAUAGUAUUUCUUAUGGAUAUUCAAUUUUUGCUUUCAACAUCUUUGCUUUCCCUGUAUGCAUGUUAUGAUUGGUAUCUACUUUAAUAGUUCAUCUUAUGGUACUGAAACACAUUUUUUUCCAUCUACUAAUUUGUGCAUAGUGAAAUAUCUGAACCUUAUAUGAAUAAGUGUCUUUAACAAUGACUGCUAUAAGUCUGCUAUAAUCACAUCAGUAGGCUUUCUAUUGUCUUCAGAUGCUUCAUAAGCUCUUUGGCUAAGAGUAGUUUAUUGAAUGUAUUUUGGAUAUGCUCUUCUUUUAAUACAGAGUAUCUGAUGUACGCUUCUAUUCCAUGGAUAAUACUCCAUAGUGUUUUUUGGUAUUGGGUGGUGUUGAUUUUUGUUUAUUUCAUCCUUCCUUUAAUUUCCUACUCAAAUUCUUGUUCAAGGCACUAUGUUUGUGACCAAACUGAAGAGCUGCUUGUUCUUUAUCUUAUUCCUUCCAGAAGUGAUAAUCUUUUGAGAAGAUGCAAUCUUAAAAACAAACAAAAAAACCCAAACCUGUUGAACUCACAUAGCAAAAUCCUCAAAGCAAUGUGCAAUUAGCAGUUACAUUAAUGUAAUCUUAAAUUACAUAGGUGAAUGUUGAUAAGACAUUUAUUUUCCGUACUGUUUACUUCUAUUUAAAAUACUCCUAAUGAAAGAUACUGCCUAAUUUCCAGCCUUCAUUAAUCACUCUUAGUUCUAGGGCAGCAGAAAUAAGUUUUUUGCCCAUUUCUAGUGCAGCAGUGAAAGCAAACAAGGUUACCAUUUUACCAUACCAUUCAUUUCAGGACUAUGCCCAUAGGAAAUCCAAAUACUCUCUAACUUAGAUUUUUGGGCAUCAUUCACUCGAAAUAACAGAGCUAGGUUUAAAAUGUGGGUCAGUGCUUGCACAACGUAGGAAUGCGCUGCUAGCACCUGUAGUAUCCAGUGCCAGACUAUAGUCCUGAGAUGGCAUUUAUUUCCAUGUGGUUAUGAUCUUUUAGUAUUGUUCUUCCUCCUUUUUGUCAUAAAUGGGAGUGAAAAAGAUAAAUCUGCUGUCUACAUAUGUUUAGAAACACUUAUGGAUGCCUCAGCAAACUAAAUACUGUAGGAAUUCAAGUUAUUAUACUAUCAGUGAAUAUAAUAAUACACUAUAACAUGCUCCUUUUGAAAGAUUAUGGUCCAGACUAGUGGGAAGAAUAA